GACGAACGCUGGCGGCGUGCUUAACACAUGCAAGUCGAGCGGUAAGGCCCUUUCGGGGUACACGAGCGGCGAACGGGUGAGUAACACGUGGGUGACCUGCCCUCAGCUCUGGGAUAAGCCUGGGAAACCGGGUCUAAUACUGGAUAUGACUCCAUGACGCAUGUUGUGGGGUGGAAAGCCUUGUGCGGCUGAGGAUGGGCCCGCGGCCUAUCAGCUUGUUGGUGGGGUGAGGCCUACCAAGGCGACGACGGGUAGCCGGCCUGAGAGGGCGACCGGCCACACUGGGACUGAGACACGGCCCAGACUCCUACGGGAGGC
rnacentral:rRNA from 1 species